UGAAAACAGGUUCCAACAACCCUAGUAAGGCCUGGUACAUAUGUAGCCUGUGGACUGCCCACUCUUUCCUCAGUCCCCCCUCCUUUUAAAACAAGAAGCCACUGUUCUCAUUCUAAACAUUUCCACAAACACACGGCCAAGUAAGUAAUCUCCUUUAUCAUUACUAAAAACACGCGCAUCAUUUCUUUAGUCGCAUUUUCCGCGUUUGUCCCCUUGGUUCUUUCUCUUCCCUAUUUGUGCAAGAAAUGCAGAUGCAAGGGUCCCCCACCCACCCCACUGUCCCACCACCCCAUAUUCUGGCUCUUUUGAUCGGAUUGCUGAAUCUCCCCCCCCCAAAAAAGACCCUUUGAAUGACUUGUUAGGAUAUUGCAACAGCCUUGCUGAAGUUAUAAAUGUUUGCCAUAUGGCAACUCAAGGACUUUGCCGCUUCCCAGUUCACCCCUGUUGUCACUUCACUGGAGUCCGUCCAGGGAUGAAAUCAGUGCUAUUUUUUAAAUGCCUGAACACCAGCAACAUUAAUCUUUCAAGAAGCUAGCCCAUACUUUAAGGAGAUGAAUAGUUAUCUCCCGGCAGUGAUGCCGCCGCAGUCUCUUUCUGACCUCUGGGCUCUGCUUUUGUCCUAGUAAGGGAGCCCCAAGGGUAGGGCCAGUGAGCUGCAAGUCCUGGGUUUAGGAUGUCCUCUGGCAGCAAUCACACAAGUGACAUUAUUAACAUGCCCAGCAGAGGACUGAACUUGGCACGUCAAUUUCUUAUUUGAAUUAAUUCCCAGGCAGGCUCCAUUUAUGACCUUUAUUGCAACCACAUUAUGGCAAUGCAAUGGUUGUUCGGGACAUUCUCUAUAUUCUGGGUUGCUAAGGACAUAGGCAGAGGCAAAUGGAAGAGAACAGGCUUCUGCUCUAAAACAAAACUUAAAGCAGGAAAUGCUUCUAGACAGAUAAAUCAAGAUUUUUUUUCCGGUCAACUCCAAUAAGGGAACAGGGUGUUUCCAUGGCUAAGGGAAAAGCCUUCACUAAGCCAAAAAGAAAAAAAGAUGUAGGUGGUGGGGGGAUAGAGAGAGGGGAAAAGAAGUUGAGUAUUCACUACUUGAGCAUCUGUGUCACUGAGCCGUCUAGUAAUGUUGGCACCACAAAGGAAAUGAAAUGACAAACAAAGAGUAGACUGAAAGAUUAUGAAAGACCACUGGCAUGUCUUGCAACUCCCACAUGAAUGGAAAUGUGCUUCUUAGAGAAUUAGACACCCCUCUCCUUGUGUAUGUUUCCUUAAUUCCCAUUCACACACAAUUCGGACUGAGAAGAUACAGUCAGCGAGAGGCAAGCAUUCUCCAAUAGCCCACCGAUUUCCAGAAACAUAUGCAGGAACUCAUAUAAAAGCCGUCAAACCGGCCAUGAUUGCUAGGACUGACAGUGCUGAUGGCAGACAUAUUUUUGUCCUACAGUUUCUUUAAUACUUCCAUGGUGCCUUUCCUAAUGGGAGAAAGAGACAGCUGUUGCCAACCUCAAACCUUUAAAGUCUGGAGUCAAAUAUUUCAGGUCAUGAAAUGCAUUAAAAACGUCGUAGGAUUUUUGUUUUUAAAAGAUCUCUCUCUCCCCCCUCCCCUUUGUGUGUAUUAUUCUAUCUAUACAGAAAUGCAAUAUGAUUGCUACAUUUCUGUUGGAAAGGGGUAGGAAAAAGCGUUUGCUUCAGUCAAUAAUAUGUAUUAUAUACUAUGUAUAUAUUAUAUGAUGGCAUGAUUGUAAAUUUACAUGAGACAAUUCACAAAUCAAUAAACUAUUACGAUUACUACUGCUAGAAAAUGAUGUAACUAGAUCAGUGUUCAUAAAGGCUACUACUUUUUAAUAGUUUGGAAGGUAGGUAGCUUCUCAGUGGUUGAAAUUUAGAAUUAGUAUAUGAAUGGCAAAACUGCCACAUGGCUAUUAUUUACCCAGAGGGCUUCUUUUUCAAUAGUUUGAUGACCGAUCUUCAACUUAAGUGUAUUUGCUGCUCUAACUCCUCCUUACUCCUUUGCCGCCUUGGUUUAUUAACAGUUUUGACUUGGAAUUGUUAUAUUUAUAUACCACCCAGUGACAACAUGGGUCCUUCGCAGUUCACGACUGACCUGCUGGGAGCCUGAGGGCCCUGCCCUACGUCUCUCCCCCUGGCUUGGGGUGGGGCCUGGCGGGCUCCAUAAAGGACUGCUGCUGCUGCUUGACACAGAUGGAUCUUUUUAAAAAUCAUUUUUAUUUUUUAUCUAUGUCAUUCUAAAUUGUUAUUGAUAUUAAUGCUGUAUUUUUUGGUUUUAGAUUUUAUGAUUUAUGUGGGAAUUGUUUUCCAUUUGGUUGUGUUCCUUUUGAUUGUGCUUCAUUUAUUCGUUGUUUAUGACUUUUGUUAUGUUGGUAAUUACGUAAAUCCUGUAAUGAUGUAAGCCGCUUUGAGCAUUGUUUUAACUAAGGAAAGGGGGCAUACAAAUAAAAAAAUGAUGAUGAUAAAUGCAGCCAACAAUCAAUGCACUGCAGGAAAACAUGCCAAUCAUAAUAAAACCAGCAAGAAAGCAGGAGUUUGAACACAUUAAGAAGAGAGAGACCUUUAAAGACCUGGGGAAACAAAGUCUUACCCUGAUGCUCAAUGGAAAACAGGAGGUGGGAGCUCAGCUUCCCUUGGACUCCAUAAGUGGGGCACCACCACUGAAAAGGCCCUGACCACAGAGGAGACCCCUGAGGUGGAGUCAGCUGAGUAGUCUGCCCAUGACAGGUCAAAUAUCAGGCAGGCCACAGGCCACUUCCCUGACCCACACAAGACCCAUUUGGCAGUUGCGCUAGCCUGGGAAAACCCUCCAAUAGCUGCUUCCUGGCUGGACCAUGGGGGGCCUGAGGCGUCGUACUGGAAAAGUGCCCAACCAUUGAAGAUUAAUAAUAAUAAUAAUAAUAAUAAUAAUAAUAAUUUAUUAUUAUUCAUACCCCGCCAUCUGGCUGGGUUUCCCCAGCCACUCUGGGUAGCUUCCUACAAAAUAUUAAAAUACAGUAGUCCAUCAAACAUUAAAAGUUUCCCUAAACAGGGCUGCCUUCAGAUGUCAGAUAAGCACACUUAGGGUACGAUAAAAAAAGGAAAUGUAAAAAAUGCCAGUCACAUGUAUAAGAAAUUUAAUACAAAUAAUAGUAAUGGUAAUAAUAAGAUGAAGACAAAGUUAGCCUUUCCCUUUAUAAACAGGAAAAGCUAUUUUUUAAUCGUCUAUUAUUCUUUGUAAUCAAUAAUUUAUUCUGCAAUAAUAUUAGUUUAAUAAUGCACAUCUGUAUUCAUGCAGCAAAAUGCUUUGCUGGAAGUAGACUUAAUAAUAUAUGUAGAAAUUGGACAAGAGGAGCAGAUGAAAUCCACAGCAGACUUUGCCUGGGAAUACACCAUGGACAGAAUCUGCUUGAACUGCUCAUACGCCUUGAUGGGUUCUAAAUUAAAUGUAGCCACUCAGGAAAAAGGAGCUAGGCAUUGGUGUAGACAGCUUGAUGAAAGCACCUGCUGAAGGCCCAGCAGCAGUCAAAAAAGCAAACAACAUGUUGGGCUGGAUUAAGAGACAGCUCAGCUGGUAAGAAAAAUACCAUAAUAUAUCUUCAAAAAUAGCCUUAACUGGUGUCUCUCUCCCCACACCCCUUCCCCAAGGAAGGAGAAAAACCAAAGAGAAAAGAUGAGGGGGAAGGAGGGGGAGAGCUUAUUAAAACAAAACACCAUUCCCUUUUUAAAAAAGAGAAAUGAAAAUACAAACUCUACUUUAAAAAGUUUGAGAUGUGUCAUAGCACUGGACAAUGAAAAGUACUCUUGGCUAGCACGAAUGAAUUCAAGCAGCAUGGAAUUUGAAUGUGCCAGGGGCUGCCAACUUGGGUUAUGAACAUGUGGGCAGGGAACUAAGUGUGGUGAGGAUGAUGGUGAAAAUUCUGCAGUGGAGUUUGAUGGGCAUGGAUACAGGAUUCUUGCCUAUGAAGCUCAUCAGGUAUACAGUGGUACCUCUAGAUGGGAACGGGAUCCAUUCCGGAGCCCCGUUCGCAUCUAGAAGCAAACAUAACCCAUGUCCGCACGUCUGCGCGUGCACAGGUCACGUUUCAGCGCAUCUUCACAUGCGCGUGACGUCAUUUUGAGCGCCUGCACAUGCGCAAGCCGCGAAACCCGAAAGUAACACGCUCCGUUACUUCCGGGUUGCCACGGAGUGCAACUCGAAUGCGCUCAUCCCGAAGCACAUUGAACCCGAGGUAUGACUGUACUGGUUUGCGCUGAUGGAAGGGUAAAUAUAAUAAGAACAAUGAAGCACUUGGGCUACCUUUUGAAAGCCAACAACAACAGCAGCAGCAGCAGCAGCAGCAGCUGGGAGGUGCCAGCACCUUUUUGGUUCAACCACAGCGUUUCUCCAAUAUUUAUGUUUGUAUGUAUGUAUCUGGGAUGCGGGUGGCGCUGUGGUCUAAACCACAGAGCCUAGGGCUUGCCAAUCAGAAGGUCGAUGGUUCGAAUCCCUGCGACGGGGUGAGCUCCCAUUGCUUGGUCCCUGCUCCUGCCAACCUAGCAGUUCGAAAGCACGUCAAAGUGCAAGUAGAUAAAUAGGUACCACUCCGGCGGGAAGGUAAACGGCGUUUCCGUGCGCUGCUCUGGUUCGCCAGAAGCGGCUUAGUCAUGCUGGUCACACGACCUGGAAGCUGUCUGCGGACAAAAGGUGGUUCCCUCGCCUAAUAAAGCGAGAUGAGCGCGGAACCCCAGAGUCGUCUGCGACUGGACUUAACGGUCAGGGCUACCUUUACCUGUAUGUAUGUAUGUAUGUAUGUAUGUAUGUAUGGACUGGAUUUUAAUUGUCCUCUUCAGCCGAAAAGGAUCCCAGAACAGCUUGCAAUGAUAACUAAUAAGCCAGGAAAUCACCUCAGGCUUACAAUCUAAGGAAAAGUGAUGGAUAGGGAGGAGGAAUAGGAGGAAUAGGAGGAAUUUUGGCACUACUUCUCAGAUGCAUCAGUAUUUACCAAGGAAGUUGAUCGAGGGGAACACACGUAAAACAUACAGUAAGCAAAGUGAAGCAAAACAAAAUACAACCUCCCCACCUUCAAUAACAGGAGAAAAGAAACCCAGUGGGUUUUAUUGAAUAUAUUAUUUAAUGUAGCACAGCAGUGUGGAAUUCUAGAUCCUGUGAGAUACUUGGGAGAAACUGUGGCCUUCCAGAUGUUGCUGGGUUAAAACUCCCACCAUUCCUGACCAUUGACCAUGCUGCUUGGGGCUGAUGGGAGCUGAAAUCCUGCAACUUCAAGGGGGGGGGGCACAGAUUCCCCACUCCUGCUUUAAGCAUGUGAAAGCUGUUUCUCCAUGAGGAGAUCCGGAGGGCCUGAAUAACCCAGAAUAACCCACCAGCAUGGGUGGGGCCAGUUUUUCUUUGGGAAUUGGCUUCCUCCCUCUGGGUGGGGUGUUGAUUUCCAGGAAAAGGCCCGUGUAAUAAUCAGCCUUGCCCAGAUGUUUGCAUCUUGCAGAUGCGGCCCCAGCAUCAUGAGAAUCUUUUGCAGACAACAGUUUUCACGUGGCUGGGCUGUAAACAGCACUUUCCUUACUCAUGGGCAAGAGGUUGAAAUUGGUUCUAUCUGACCCCCUUUCUGGUUCACCAACUUUAACCUGCCCAAGGACCAAAGGAAUUCAUGGCUAGAUCUCAUAAUUUCAAUGGGAGGUUCUGCUGGGCUUCCAUGGGCAGGGGUUAUCAAAAGGUCCCAUGUCCAGGCUCCUUGUCCCUUUCUCUUCCUGCACACAAAUCGUGUCCUCCCUAGAAGAGGACGUGUUGUGGUGAGACCUGGAGACUGACCUCCUGGUUGUGGGUGGGUCUAUUGGAUAGCCACAACACCCGAUUGGUAGAUCCCCCGCUGCUGGGUUUAAUCUGGCCAAUGGGGUGCAGUCUAAACGGAUCAAGGGACCUAUAUAAACCCAUGCACAUGUCCCAGAGCUUCCUCUUUCGCUCAUGCAUUGGAACACCCGCCCACCUCUCCCUAAUUUAAAGGCGUAUUGCGAUUGACCUUGCUAUGCCGUCAUGUGUCGUCUGUCUUUGGGACAGGGGCAUGGCAGGAAUUUCCCCCACUUGGCUGAUUGGCUGCUGCCAUUGGGUUUUGCCUGCCGCGUAGCAAAUUGUCACAACUUGUAAGGUUGUACCCACCCACAACACAGGGUUUGGUUGUCAGGUCGCACUGCAACACGUCCCCUCUUUGAGGGAGGACACGAUCUGCAGCAAGCACUGUAACCCUCCAGUGAUUUGACGUUGCCCCCAAAGGGUCCCUCUUCCACUGUCUCCUGAGAGAGGUUGAUGCCAGCAACCAACAACAACAUUACAGUCCCACAAUGGUGGGGUAACAGUGGCUGGCAGAAAUAUUGCACUCUAGGUGAUCAGUCGGUGACGGAGGGAAAUUUUAUAAGCCUAGCAACCCCUCUGGAGGCGAAACAGGACUGUCUUUGUUCUAUCCAGGGAGAAGCAUUUCUGCAACACCCACAUGGUUAGCACCCAAGAGAAACCGCAUCAUAUGCUACUGCUGAAGCUGAGAUGGAAGAUAUUAAAUAAAAACAAACAAACACACAAAUAACAACACAACUGUUAUUGCCAUCACAUCACAUUUCAAUGUGCAAGUGGGACUACAGAGAUGAUGAUAGCUGUAGGAUAUUUAUAUCUCCCAGAAAUCUCUCACAAAUUGAAAGAGGAUGUGUGUGUGUUUUGCUGAGGCUCCAAGAGGUGCUGUAAAACCUCUUUGCCUCUGAUGGGGAUGGUGUUACCGUAACAGGCAAGGAAGCAGAGUCCUCCAAUUAUUUGGGUUUUAAUUCAAACUGGAAAGUAUCCACAGGAGGACUGCAGUAUCUGAAGGUUCUGAGAGAGGCACUACAAGAUGGGGGGGGGAGAGAAUGUUUAUGCUAUCGCACAUUGUGCAUCAAUUAAAUAUAAUCUGAGCAAAGCACAACUGGUGGCUACAGACAUAAAAAUAGCCUUAAUAUUUCAACGCCUCUGUUGCUUUGUGCAUCCAGGUUCUUAGAAAGGUGGCUGCAAAUGAUUAUUUCCCUUAGCAAGUUCACAUGGAGUUGUUUGCUCAGUUUAAUAAUAGUCUAUCUUGUUCAGGGUGAACAAACUGGUCCCGGGAGGGGUAGUGGGGUGGGGGAGGCAGUAAUAAAUCAAUAGCCCAGAUGUAAUCUUAGGUGUCUAGAAUGCAGAGAGGGAUUUUGGAGCAUAAUGGCAGUGGUUGUCUAUUGUCAUUCAGACAUGAGCUGCAUCAGAAAAGGGCUUGUGGGAACUAGAUAAGGGUUGGUCAAAAGUGGGCUAUAAAUCAAACAGAGGCAGGAUUCUGCUGAUUUCCCGCGCACGCUCGCUGGGAAGGGAGGGGGGCAGUGAUAGAUCUGCAAUUUACUGCUUAUCGCAUCUGCUGGAAGUUUCAUAAUACAAAAGCCUGACCUUCAAUGAAUAAACACCCUCAUUGACUACCUGUUUCUGGCUGCUAUAUAUAUAUAUAUAUAUAUAUAUAUAUAUAUAUAUAUAUAUAUGACAUUACUCUAUGCUCAUUGCAGAGAGCUGCUGAAAAAUAGAAGACAAGCAGCGCUAUGAAAAUGAUGUGACAUCUUUUUGGGCUUAACAAGCUCUCGCCUGUCGCUAGCAGCUGUCACUUCAGCUACGUGUAGUCACUUUGCCAUCAAAAUGCGCAGAAUUUAUUGAAAGGAACUAGAUACUUAUUCAACAGGACUAAAAGGUCUACGGGGAGAAAACAGCCGCUCAGCCACUAAAAGUGUGCAGAGCAGGAGGUCAGGCUCUUUUAAAACACUCUCGUGUGAAUAGCCCUCUUCCCUUUUAAGUGGGGAAGAGGCCUUUGUUCUGUCAUCCUUUGGUUGUGAGAAAAUUCAAAACAGCUUCACCACUGGAGGAGGAGGCACUGGAGUCUUGGCUGAUAUAGCGUAGUGACUAAGAGCCCGAGUGAUGGACCAGAAAGACCCUUGCCUCUGUUACAAUACAUUUUGUUUUAUUUACUUAAUUUGAUUACACGUAUACCCAAGGAGCUUGAGAAAAUAAGCACCUCCCUCAAAACAACGCUGUGAGGCAGGUUAGUCUGUGAAAUGGUAACUGGCUGAAGGUCAACCUGUGGUUUUUCAUGGCUAAGGGAAGAUUUGAAUUGGGGUAUCUCCAGAUCCUCCAUUCUGAAGGAAAUCAGCCCUGAGUGCUCACUGGAAGGACAGAUCCUGAAGCUGAGGCUCCAAUACUUUGGCCACCUCAUGAGAAGAGAAGACUCCCUGGAAAAGACCCUGAUGCUGGGAAAGAUGGAGGGCACAAGGAGAAGGGGACAACAGAGGAUGAGAUGGUUGGACAGUGUUCUCGAAGCUACCAGCAUGAGUUUGACCAAACUGUGGGAGGCAGUGGAAGACAGGAGUGCCUGGCGUGCUCUGGUCCAUGGGGUCACGAAGAGUCGGACACGACUAAGCGACUAAACAACAACAACAUCUCCAGGUCCAGCCCAACAUUUACUGCUAAAGUUUCUAAGCUGCUUUAGGCUGGUCACUAUCUCUCACCCUCAGCGUCUCCUUUCCAAAACAAAAAGAAACCAAAACUCAUUAAAAUAAUUUGGCAUUACAGUGUGAGUUUCUAUUAAUUUUCCUACACAGUUUGACUACUGUAUACAUCUUCUGCAAGCAAUUUCCCCCAGUAUAAUACGUUUUUGUCUGCUAUUACAAUUCCCAGAGUGAGUGAAUACCUCUUCCCGGGGCACUCUGACAAUUGCAGCUCUAUAAGAUGAAGAAGAAGAGUUUGGAUUUGAUAUCCCGCUUUAUCACUACCCUAAGGAGUCUCCAAGUGGCUAACAAUCUCCUUUCCCUUCCUCCCCCACAACAAACACUCCGUGUGGUGAGUGAGAUUGAGAGACUUCAGAGAAGUGUGACUAGCCCAAGGUCACCCAGCAGCUGCAUGUGGAGGAGUGGGGAAGCGAACCCGGUUCACCAGAUUACGAGUCCACCGCUCUUAACCACUACACCACAACAACCCUAAUCACCCUUAAACUACAGUUCUCAGGAUUCUUUCGGGGGAAGCCAUGACUUCCCCCAAAUGGUGUGAUACUGCUCUAAAUGUAAGGUGCAGAUCUGACCCUUUCAGAAGAAGUGCUCUUAUGCCACCAGGUUUCAGCGUCUUGUGUUAUGUAGGUUUUGGGUCACUGCUUGUUGAUUCAACAGCAUAACAUCUUGAGCUGUUCAACGCUUCUUCCUUUUUAGCAGUUUUCACUACUGUGUUGUCCUGCAGCCGUUCUCCCAAAACAAGAGCUCAGCUGGCUUUACCAUUUGGCAUGCUGCAUGGAUUUUAAAAACAAACUAUAAAACAGAUGGCGGAAAUACUGAUUAAUCUGUUUAGGAAAUGCAGGUUGUAUAUACAUGUAUAUUAAAGAAGGAGAGACUUAGCAACACUGUUCAGCUGAACCACAAAAUAUGGAUUGGCAUACAAUCGUAAAUAUGAAUGGGAUGUGCUGUAUCUUAUUUAUUUAUUUAGCAAAACCUAUGUACUGCUUCAUGAAGAAAACCUCUAAGUGUUUUUCCCCCCUCCAAAGUUGCAGGGAAGAAAAGAAGAUUGAUGUGUGCUAUCUGGGUAAUGUUCUGCAGGAUGAAAUUUUAUCAAAAUUUUAAGAAACGGUGAGAAGUACAAAAGUUUUUAGCAGCAUUUAGCCAAAAUCUGGAUGCAGUUGCUAUUUUGGGAACCUUGCACAGGAUUAGUGGUUGUGCUGCCUGUUAUAUUUUGUAUCUAAGUCUGUUUGUUUUCAAUAGACUCUGCUUGUAUAUUAGCAUAUAAACAUAUAUUACAAAGACACUAUAAAUCAUCCAACGGAAACGAAAUCCUUCAUUCCCAUCCUAGACUUCUCACUAUUUAGAGAAGAGGGGAAUAUUUUUGUAUUAUAGACUGCGGUCUCCUGCUAUGCAGUCUUUGUGCUAAUUUUUGCUUAACACAGGUAAAAUUAAUGAAUGCCCCCUCUCACCCUGCCAAUUCCACCAUGUCUCUCAUUGCUACAUACAUGUAUUUUCUUCCUUUCCUCCAGCAACCAUUGGAUGUCCUACCCACAAUCCAGCCAGGAUACCUCUCCUUCCCUCACUUGCCCUGCAGGCCCAGAGUUCUGUCCUGACUUCUUCAGUUUCUUACAAAUGUCCCCAUCAAUUCCACUUGUUGUUCAGAAUAUUUGGUCCUUGAGAACAAGGAAAUAGACGUCCGUCUCAGGGUUCCAGAAUAUGCCUCAGAGAAACUGGCGGAGGAAGAGGAGUGUGGGGGGAGCGCACCGCCCCCGGCAGCGCGAUCCCGGUGGGGUGCCAUCGCAGCUGCCCCCUCGCCUGUGCUGGGCGCCAUGCCCCCACAGACAGCGUGCCAUGCCCCAGGACGCAUGCCACGCCCCUGCGGGCAGCGCUCCACGCCUCCAGGACGCACACCAGCCACGCCUCCACCUGCUCCUCGCCCCCCAGUGCUGGAGCAUGAAGUUCCACCACUACUUGGACAUCUCCAAUAAUCUUCAUUGAAUGUGCUGCAGCAGACAUUUAAAAGCUUCUUCUUAUGUUAUCUUUUUAGCAUGAGAUCUUCUCUUUCGUAACAUUCAAACCUGGCGUCCCGAUCACAAUUGGGACAUAAAAAAACUGAAGCACUCCUUCACACAGGCCUUUGCUAGGCUGGGAUCUGGUUUUCCUAGAUGUGAUGAAGGACACAGGCCUAGAUGCCUUUAGGAGUAGAUUGGACAAUGUUUUGGAAGAUAAGUAUAUCAAUGGCUACUAGUAAUGAAUGUUGGAUAUAUUAUGUCCAGUGUCAGAGGAGAUAUAUCUCCAAGUCUUCAAAGCCCUUGACACCUUUGGUAAAGGCUGUUCUCCAAUUGGAGCACUCGCAGGGCAGUGUUCCCCAGUUGUUGGUAUUUAUACUACACUUUUUUUUUUAGAAGCUAAGAGGAAGGCACGCUUGGCAAACCCUCACUGUGUUCAGCUCCUGCCCAGAAACCUAUCUCUCCACUGUGGUAGGAUGUGUGGAUCCAGAAUUGGCCUCCACAGUCACUUACGGACUCACUGUUAAAACCGUGUUUAUGGAAGACAAUCUUACUCGGCUACAAGUGAUCGCCAAAGAAGAAGAAAAUCUCUAAGUACCACUUGUUGGGGAUCUUGAGCAAGAGAAGGCUAUUGGGUUCAUGUCCUGCUUCUGGGCUUUGCAUGCAAAUCUGUUUGGCCACUGCGGGAACAAAACGCUCGAUUACAUCCUUUGGUCUGAUCCCACAGAGCUCUUCUUAUGCACAGCACCAUUCCUUUGUGCAUGGCAAAGGAAACACCAGAAGCCCCACAGCAAGGGGGAAAGCCCACACAGUGAAACCCCCUCCAUCUUUUCAAGAAGGGGCAAUUCUGGCAUGGAGAGGAACUGCAAAAAUGAGCUCCUCCAACAUGGCCAGGUUCUUCUGGCAUCACCUUCGUGGUGUGGGAAGAAGCCGCGCUGUACCGCUGUAGGGUUCCCACACCGCAAAGGCAACAUGAGACAGGGCCCCAAGAGGCAGUUCUGCGCAAAAGGGUUUUCCUUUAGUGGUAAUCUGUGUUUUCCCUCCAUGUAAAACAUUUUGCAGCUUGUCUCGUUACAGCAUUUGCAAAAACACCAGCUGAAAGCAGCAUGAAUUAUUUAGGUUUUGCAGCAAAUCACCCUGAUCUUGGUGUUCAACUUCUUAAUGCACUCUAAGUGAGCCCUAGGAGGCAAAUCUUAGCAGACAAGGGGCAUAACGUAAAGCAAGCUUUAUUAGCCACAGAAAGCCACACUAUAGUGUUUAUUAAGUAUACCAUAGAUAGUAAAUCGCUUUCAUGGCGUGCUUGAGAAUCACCAUCGCAAUCAGCACUGUCCAGGUCCAAGCGCCUUUCUUUUAUGAAAAUAAAUUUAUGACUUUGUUGGUCUGAUUAAUAUAACGGACCUCCCCCACCCCCUUUUAGCAGAUAACUGAUUUUCAACAAAUCGCUACGUGUCAUAAAGAGUCUCAGUCUCUCAUGGUUUAAUUGUUUUCAGAAAAAGGAAAGUACAUUAGUGUUAUCAUCUGCCUGAUGCCUGUGCCAGCUCCAGAGAGUGUUCUGCCUCCAGUGAUCUGGGGGAGUAUAUGCCAAGAGCUUGCUGCUUGUCCAUUCAGUUGAAUAAAGAGUCAUUAAGCUUCAACCCUCCCCAAACAUUUUGUUCAUUUGAGAAACUGCUGCUUGGACUGAUCAGAAAGAGUAACCCCCCACCUCACCCCCAUCUUACAUCAUUAAAUGACAUUUGCAGGGAGGCUACAUUUAUGAUCCUAAUCAACUUUUAUCUUUGGCCAAUGAGAUUACUCUCUGACCAGACAGACAAUAACACUAACCUCCCCCCUCCCUCCAAGUCCUCAACGGGCAGACACUGGCUAAUAAAUAUUUAAUGGAUCAGAUAGAGCAAGUUGGGUAUUUGCAAAAUAUAGCCUCUCUCUCUCUCUCUCUCUCUCUGUUAGAGAAAUACAAAUGGCAAGUCCUAACGUUUUCUGAAUGAAGAGGAGGUACACAUCAUCUCUUGUGUGUGCUAUGCUCUGAUCUCGUUGAGCACAGUGGGAGCAAUGGAGCCAAUAGGAACCAAGAACAGAUGUGAUGACAUGGUGGGUACCACCUGUUUUAUUUUUAAAAUUUAAAAUAUAUGCACACAGAAGUGAAAAAUUUCAAGAAUAGAAAGCAGGUGGUAGAGGGUUGGGAUAAAGUAACUGAGGGGAGGAACAAAAAUGCAUUCCAAAUGCAUUCCAUCAAGCUUCACCCACUGGGCUAAACGGCAAGUGGCAAAAUAUUUAUUUGUUAGAUUUGUACACCACCCUCAUCCAUAGAUCUUGGGGUGGUUCACAACAUAAAAAUACAAGAUAAAAACACGAAAAACAAGGCAAAACCCCCACAAACCAAUAGCACCCUCUCCUACAUCCCUUAUCCAUGACUGAGAAAAUGGCAGUGCGCCAAAGCUAAUGCGCCAAACGCACACACAUAAAGAUCAGAUCUGAAUGAUCCAUUUGUGAUCUAAGGUUCCCACCUGGAAGUACUCUAAGCCAGUAAUGAUUUCAUUUCUUUCCUGACUUACAGUAUUCUUUGCUUCCCCUCCACAACACAGUCUUAUUUGGCAAUUAGGUGCAACUGUCACUUCAUCAAAAGUGUGAUUUUUCUACAACCCUGCUCCUCCCAAUCAUCUUAAUUCUGAUAGUUUAAUACAAAAUCUGAUAGCUAAUAUCGACUGACAGCGAAAAUAUAAUCCAUGUAACCACAUCACUUGCGAUAAUAUAUUAUUCAUUUAUUUUUGAUAUUGAUUGGGGGAAUAUUGUCUGUGCUGUAUGUUUAUGUAACUAAGGCUGGCAUGUGUAGCCCCAAUAAAAAUAUAUGGUGAAAAUAACUUAUUCAUAUAAACUUAUUUAAGAUGACAGUCUAUAACUUGAACUCUUCCCUUGCACGUAUUUAUUUACCAACGUAUACUCUGCUUUCCAACCAUAGCUUCUGAAAACAUUAUGAAAAGAAACGCAACACUAUAUCCAUAAAAGUGCAUCAGCUAUAACUCAAAUGUCACAGCAAUGAAACACAUACUUUAAACCACCAGCAAAACCCAUAAAAUCUACUCAAAAACCCAACCAGUAGCUUUUCCCUAGAAAAGAACUUUCAAAAGAGGAAGAUCUUAGCUAUCUGCGUAAAGGCUGAGUGCACACUACCGUUAAUCUGGUAAUUUACCUGUGAUGCUUAAGACAACAAGAGAGCCACUUUAGACAAUAGAUGGACAUGCAAAGAAGGGCAUCCCUGGUAGAUUAAACAUGUGCCUGAAGACAGCAUGUUUUAUGCUUCAACUAUAGAAGUCAUUUCAUUCACACUAAUCUCUAUAGUCUAGCAAUCUUAAUAGGCUCCACAGGACACUAGGGCUACUGACAGGGGGGGUACAGGGGGUCCACAGGUACCAGGUCCUGAACCAGCAGGGCCUCCUGACUCUUCACGUUCAUGUUUUAAAGAUGUAAGUCAAUUGGACAUCUACAAAGAAAGUUAGAAAGGAAAAUGUGGAGGCAGUUAUCUAAGACUUUAUCAGGCAGCAACAUUGCAACGGACAAUCAAUCACGGCCGCUAAGCAGACAGAAGGAGGAAUGCUGGCCAUCCUCACCUGGGACCCAUGUAAGCUUACUGCUUACAUACCACAGAGGUUAAGUGUGAAUGUCUUAGGUUUCAAUUCUCAUGCUUUUGAGUACCCCAACUCUUCUCUUAAACCAGUGUUCUUCAGCUUUAGGGCAGGUUAUCUGUUGUACAUAGGGAUCUGCUUCCCAUACAGCAUUAGGUUAUGUUAAGUUUGACUGUAUAGGCGCAAUCAAGACAUGGAUACAAUACAAAUCUAACCUAUUCUAUUUCCCUUGUGUGCUCAUCAGAACAAAGCCCUAUUGCAUAUAUAGAGUACACCUAAAUCCAUUUAUGUCACAUACCAGUACUACCUUGCUUAAAUCCUAAAGCUUUCAUGACCAGACAUUAUAGGCUGAAACAUUUUUGAGACAUGAAACCUAGUCCAAAGCUCCAUGGAAGCACCAGUGUUCACAAUGAUUUAUGUGUAGGAGCUCUCAUAGCAGCCAAUGAGAAAGCCUUUGCACACCUGGAAGCUCUGUGUACACAUCAGAGUGUCAGGUGCCACAGGGCUGAAGGAUGGAGCCUGGGUUGCUUACGUUUGCCUCGCAAGAGCUGCUGGCUAUUGUGGAUGGAGAGAGACUACAGACUGGGCUUCACCAAUUUGUUACCCUUCAGAUGUUUUGGAUUCCAACUCUCUUCACCCGCCAGCCAGUGCUCAGAUUGUUUGGGGCUGAAGGGAGUUGCAGUUCAAAACAUCUGGAAGGCACCAGCUUGGCAAAGGCUGGUGUAGGCAAUACCAGGCUAGAUGGUCUGACUUAGUAUAAGGCAGUUAUCCUAUGUGGUCCAAAAUACUUGGAUGACUUCAGGUUGGCAACAGCUGCUAGAGACAAUUCCAACACAGAGCCUCAUACAGUGGUGCCUCGCAAGACGAAAUUAAUUCGUUCCGCGAGUUUUUUCGUCUAGCGAAUUUUUCGUCUUGCGAAGCACGGUGUCGGAAAAGUUUUGGAAAAGCUUCAAAAAUCACCAAAAACCUCAAAAAAGGCUACCACACCGCGUUCUAUGAGUUGCUCCUCGAAGUCAAGUCGCAACUGUAUUAACGGUGUUAAGAAAAAGGAAACAAACUUGCAAAAAACGCAAGACGUUUUCGUCUUGCGAAGCAAGCCCAUAGGGAAAUUCGUCUUGCGAAGCAGCUCAAAAACCGCAAAACCCUUUCGUCUAGCGAGUUUUUCGUCUUGCGAGGCAUUCGUCUUGCGGGGCACCACUGUAAUACCAUCACAAUCUUCCCUGGCCUGGGAAUUUGGGUGAUAUGGGAGGGCAAAUCAGGUGCUAUUUGUUGUUGUUUAGUCAUUUAGUCGUGUCCGACUCUUCGUGACCCCAUGGACCAGAGCACGCCAGGCACUCUUGUCUUCCACUGCCUCCCACAGUUUGGUCAAACUCAUGCUGGUAGCUUCGAGAACACUGUCCAACGAUCUCGUCCUCUGUUGUCUCCUUCUCCUUGUGCCCUCCAUCUUUCCCAACAUCAGGGUCUUUUCCAGGGAGUCUUCUCUUCUCAUGAGGUGGCCAAAGUAUUGGAGCCUCAGCUUCAAGUUCUGUCCUUCCAGUGAGCACUCAGGGCUGGUUUCCUUAAGAAUGGAGAGGUUUGAUCUUCUUGCAGUCCAUGGGACUCUCUAUAAAAACUCCCAUGCUGCUGAUUUUCACAGCUUGGCCGAGGCCACCUUGUCAUUCGUCUUGGCAUCAAACCAGCCUCUUUGGCCUGCUUGCCUUCAUCCUAUGCAUUGCAGAGGAGAGUGACUGCAUAGCUAAAGACUUUUAAAGGAAGAAGCUAUUUCAACACCUCAAAAAGAGAAAAGAUCUAAUGAACAAUUUUAAUAAGCUGGAAGAGAAUUCAGGAGAACACCCUGAAUCCAGUGUAAUUUCCCACCAAGCCAGGGCCGUCUUUACCCGGGGGUCCAAGGGGUGCAGUGCACCCGGUCACUGAAUUCUGGGGGGCACCAAAUGUAUUCUGAGGGGUGCCAAAUGUAUACCUACUGUAUACCAGUCGCUCUCGAUCAGCGGCAGUGAAAAGCAAUGGAGCAAAAGUCCCCGCCCCCCUCUUCCGUCGCUCUGUUACUCCGUAGCGUCAAAUAUUCCCGACGAGUCAGGAAACAAAAGCAGUUAUUUCCACUGUGUUGUUGUUACAGGUGAGCGAUUUUCCUCCCCCUCAAAAAAGUCAACAACCUUGAGUUGGCCCCCCCAAAAAAAUCUGAGGGCGGCUAAACUAAAUUUGGGGGCACUGGGCGGAUCUUUGCACCCCAGGGGUGCAUGUGCUAAAAAUGGCCCUGUACCAAGCUACUAACAAUUCUCAAUACCACCUCUCCUAGUUUUCUUCACCAAAUGCAGCACCUCAAAGUAAAAGAGAGGGUAGCUCUGUUAACACUUUCUGAAAUAAACAAAAAUAAUAAUUUGUGCAUGACUUGCCCUUUAAAAAUAAUUAAAAAACAGUUUUGGCAAUGCAUGGUGAGUCCUGCAUGAAACCCUUAUUUGGGAAAGAUACAUUUUUCAGAUAUCAGGAUCUUUGCGAGCCAAAUAUGCUUGCAAUAUCAUUUGAUAUUCCUUAGCCUUCAAGUAGGAGCAUGGGGAGUUUUAAAUGCCGGGGUGGGAUAUUGAUUUUUCUGGUCCUGUGAAAUUGAAUAAGUUAAUUCAUAAGAUUAUCUCCGGGAGAGAGAGAAAAAAGUCAAAAGUAUUUCUUUUAAAUGCUGCCCUAAGAAAAAGAGCAUGGAAGUCAAACUACUCCUCUCUAUGAAGGCACAUUUAAACAAAAAUGGGAAAUUAUUUUUAAAUAACCUUUUAAAAUGGUAUUUCCUGCCACAUAAUUUUGUGGAAGCACCAUUUUUUAAAAUAAAAUAUGUUUCUAAUAGCAUAUUAUAUUUUACUCACCACGCUAGGGGAAGGCAGCACAAGGGUUCGGAGGGCCAUUUUCUUUUUCCUUUUCUUCCAGGAAAGGGAAUAAUUUAUUAACCCCACUGGUGCUGAUCUUUUAGAAAUCUGCUGACUGGUGUCUACUGCAAUAUAAUGCCAGACAAAUUAUAGAACUGAAUUAUAAAAUGAUGAGUCACAGUUUUGUGCCGCUAAAGCAAGAAGGAAAGGAAAGAGCAGAAUCUGCUUCAUCCUCAUGGAAUCAAAUGGUUGGAAUGCAAUGGAGUUUAGUCAUGCAAACUACCUAUUCAGCUUAAGAAAGAACGCCCACCAAAAACCUCCCCCCAAAAAACCCUCCUAAGAAUGACAACCAAAAGCCUCGUGAUGGAAGAGUAGCUCCAUCUCAAUGCCAUCCAAAGCUAUGCUUGGCACACACAUUUCAGCAGAUAGUUGGUAAGACAACCAGAUGGAAGAGACCUGUUGAUUAUUACAGCAGCCUGGCUGUGUACUGAGACAACACACAGCAAAGAUGAUCGCUAUCUCUUUUAAACAAGCAACCACUCUUUCAAAAAUCAUCCGCCAAAAUGUUUUACUAUGAGAUCAUCCUUCGUACGCCCUGUAAGUACUGCAAUCUAGGGCUGGGUGUGGUUCAUCUGGAGAGAGUUGGGUUUUAAAUGGAAAGGGUCCAAACAACGGGAUUUCUACCACAGAUCACAGGAGUGUAUGGGUUCCCAGGGUGAGAACUGUCUGCCUAGGAAGAACAGCAGUUACUGUGACAGAUUGCCAUGACUUGGUGGCGGUUGAGAGACUGAGCUAUGAAUCAAAAAGCGCCAGUUUUGAAUAUUGCUUCUGCGAUGAACUCACAAGGUGACAUUAGGCAACCUCUUUUCAGUCUCAGCCUGCAAUGUAAGCAUUUUGAGGAAGAGAGGAUAAUGUAUGUGAAACUAUUCAAAAGUACUGUUUCGACCCUUCAUGUCAUUUACAGAGCAGUUUUUUCUCUGAUAGCUACCUGUAAAAGGGAAAGGGACCCCUGACCGUUAGGUCCAGUCACGGACGACUGUGGGGUUGCGGCGCUCAUCUUGCUUUACUGGCCAAGGGAGCUGGAGUACAGCUUCCAGGUCAUGUGACUAGCAUGACUAAGCCGCUUCUGGCGAACCAGAGCAGCGCACGGAAACACUGUUUACCUUUCCACCGGAGUGGUGCCUAUUUAUCUACUUGCACUUUGACAUGCUUUCGAACUGCUAGGUUGGCAGGAGCUGGGACCGAGCAACGGGAGCUCACCCCGUCGUGGGGAUUCAAACCACCAACCUUCUGAUCGGCAAGCCCCAGGCUCUGUGGUUUAACCCACAGCACCACCCGCAUCCACAACUACCUGUAGGAGGUCUCAAAUCCGGUUUCCCAUGCUUGUGUGGCCCAGACUUUCAAUUGCUAGAGCAUUAUUGGUUUUGCUGCCAGCUUGGCUUGCUGGAAACAUCCUUCCUGACCUUACAAUGGUCUUUUUCUGUCAGUUAUGAAGUCAAGUAUUAUGCUGGUGCCUCCUAUUAAUGUGGAUUUGUCUAGGACCAAGUUAAUUUUAGCCUGCCCUUGUGUUCAGGAAGGUUCUGUUCAGGCUGUUCCAUAGGAGGUGAACGAGGUCUCUUUGUGGCUGUAUGCAUCUCUAGCAGCCCCCCAUGGGUGCAAUGCCUAUGUGUUUAAGACAAGCAGGAGUUCAGUUGGCCCAGAGGAAUAUUUUCUGUGGGAUUAACCUCAGUACAAUGCCUAGCUUAAUACUAUGGAGGACCUUUCCACAUUGUGUUAGGUGGCUUUUGAAUAUUUUGUUCCACUUAUGCCUAACUGGAUAUAGAUCAGGGCUUGGUGUGUUACUUGCUAUUGUGUAUGCACACUUACUGAGUUUUCUCGUAAAGAUGAAGGCAUGUGUUGCUUACAGGUGACCUGGUGUGCCUUUUUUAAAGUCAUCCAAGUUGGUGGUCAUCACUUCGUCUUGUGGAAGCAAAUUCUGUAAUUUAACUACACACUGUGCGAAGAAGAAUUUUCUUUCAUAUGUCCUGAUUCUUCCAAUGUUCCAAUGUUCAGUCCCCAGGUGGUAUUAUUGGAGAGGGAGAAGAAAUUCCCCCAGUCCACUUUCACCACAGUGUGCACCAUUUAUACACCUCCAUGAUUUCUCUUCUUACUCUCUUUUUCUUUAAAUUGAAAAGCCCCAAUUUUUGCAGCCUUUCCUCUUAGGGAAGUUGCUCCAUCCCUUUGCAUAAAUAUGUACAGUGGUACCUCAGAUUACAGACACCUCAGGUUACGGACUCCAUUAACCCGGAAGUAGUACCUCAGGUUAAUAACUUUACCUCAGGAUGAGAACAGAAAUCGUGCGGCGGCAGUGGGAGGCCCCAUUAGCUAAAGUGGUACCUCAGGUUAAGAACGGUUUCAGGUUAAGAACAGACCUCCGGAACGAAUUAAGUUUGUAACCGGAGAUACCACUGUAUAUAACAUAUAUGCAGGUAUAGUGCAAAAUAUAUUUUUAAAAAAAAUUCUGAGAAAAAAUGAUAAAAGAAAAAUACUCCUCCGUAAAGCAAUGACCAAGUAAGUCACAUAACAGCUUUUAGAUAUGAGCAAGAAGAGGUGAACUUUGUUUACACUAUGUCUCCAGAUGUUUCAUGUAAGGACAGUGCGCAACACAGCUGGGAUGAUGAGCUCUAAAUCCUGGGAAGACGUACGAUUUUAAACCCAAACUUCAACUGGGGGGGGGAAAGAACAGCCCAUAAUGGUGAGAGAUAACAGGUGGAAGCCUUGCUUUGCCAUUGUGCCUGGAGGGCAAAAUCUGGCAGGCAGAAGUCGCUUCAGAACAAAAGCCACGGCAUCUGCUGUUCACUGUACUUCUUCAGUCCAUCCCUAUUUAUUCAGCAUCACUGACAACACUCUCACUGCAGUAUUUUAAGCUGGUUUUACUUUUUUAAAAAAACCAAACCCUUAUGACAUGACCAUCAGUUCUGGGAAAACAGUGAUUUAAAGGAUGGUUUGGGCCUAAAGCUGGGUCCAAAGUCCUGUUUCUGAUUCAUAACAAUAACUAACUAAUAAGACAUUGAUGCAGUCUUUACAGGCUUACAACUUUCCUGGAAGGUGGGUCAGUAUUAUUACAGUGGUACCUUGGUUCUCAAACUUAAUCUGUUCUGGAAGACCGUUCCAAAACCAAAGCGUUCCAAAACCAAAGUGCGCUUUUCAAUAGAAAGUAAUGCAAAACGGAUUAAUCCGUUCCAGACUUUUAAAAACAACCCCUAAAACAGCAAUUUAACAUGAAUUUUACUAUCUAACAAGACCACUGAUCCAUAAAAUGAAAGCAAUAAACAAUGUACUGUACUAUAAAAUAAAUAAGACAGUAUUGUAGAUGAUGAAAAUUAAAAUUAUUUUUCUUUCUUACCUGCACUGAUGAUAGUCAUUGUUUGGAUGGGGGGCUUUUAUCCAUUUCCACAUUCACACAAUCAAUUAAUCAGUAGCUGAUCUGGGUUCCACACAGUCACAAAAACAAAUUAACCGAAAAAGCCUCAAAAACAAAAACGCAAAAUAAAUAGCAAAAACAAAAGCACAAAAUACAGUGGUACCUUGAUUCUUGAACUUAAUCUAUUCUGGAAGUCCGUUUGACUUCUGAAAUGUUCGGAAAACAAGGCGUGGCUUCUGAUUGGUGCAGGCGCCCCCGAAAUAUAGCCGACAGCCGCAUCGGAUGCUCGGCUUCUGAAAAAUGUUCGGAAACCAGAACACUUCCUUCCAGGUUUUGAGUGUUUGGGAACCAAAGCAUUUGAGAACCAAGGUGUUUGAGAACCAAGGUACCACUGUAUCUGCAAAUUGCAGAGAGGGGGCAGACGCAGAGUGGCUUCCUUAGUACUACCUAGUGAGUUGUAGGCAGAGAAAAUAUUUAAACUGGGGACUAUUCCUGAUUUACGGACGCGGGUGGCACUGUGGUCUAAACCACAGAGCCUAGGGCUUGCCAAUCAGAAGGUCGGUGGUUCGAAUCCCUGCAGGUGAGCUCCCGUUGUCCGGUCCCUGCUCCUGCCCACCUAGCAGUUUGAAAGCACAUCAAAGUGCAAGUAGAUAAAUAGGUACCACUCUGGCGGGAAAGUAAACGGUGUUUCUGUGUGCUGCUCUAGUUCGCCAGAAGCGGCUUAGUCAUGCUGGCCACAUGACCCGGAAAAACUGUCUGCAGGCAAAUGCCGGCUCCCUUGGCCAGUAAAGCAAGAUGAGCGUUGCAACCCCAGAGUCGUUUGCGACUGGACUUAACUCUCAGGGGUCCUUUACCUUUACCUUUUUAUUCCUGAUUUGGAGCCAAGUCACUUGGUCACUUCAUCAGCUGUACGAAUUUCGUAUCAAGGCAGGAAAUCCGCGAAAGGCAUUUCCCUCUUUCCCCCCCGUCAUGGUUCUUCACAGUAGGGAAAUAUUAUAGAAACAAUUCUAAACUAAGCCUGCUGGGUCUUCUUAGAUUAAUGGCAGGGAAUCAGCAGCUCAGCAGAUGCAAUGGUUCCACUCCUGCUCUCUGGACAACCCCUCCAGGAAUUGCUUCCAGGAAUUGUGUGUGUAUGAGAGUGGGCUUGCAUUCAGACAUGGGGUUUAUUGCGUUAGCUUUCCUUGCAUUCGUUACACUGGCUUCUGUGCUGAUUUUGAACAGCUCUUUUACAUUGCAGUAUUUGCUGAAUUAUGGGAUGGUGGCUUUUUGGUUGACACCCACCACGUUGUGCUAAUUUCUAAAUGGCAAGAGAGGACUGUGUGCCAGGAAACAGCCCCCGAUUUAAUCAUGUGAAAUUGCAACGCAAAAAUCCCACAAUUUUCCUGAGGGUUGCCACCCCCAAGGAAACAAUUAACACAGAAAUGAGUGUUAAACCACUGCUAGAUUCCCCUAGGUUUCCACUAGUGGCUUUUACAUUGUGUGAAAGAUUAACAGGUAAGAAAAUGUCAGGAAGAUGGAGUGAUGUGCUGCCUGAAUACACCCUAAGUGAAAGUGAGGAAGAUCUAUGCAACACUGCCACCUGCUUCUGGCUCCAAACAAAUUACCCGUAAGGUAAUUCAACCCUCAAAUAGAAGGUUGUUGCCCUAGAUCAGGCAUGUCCAACAGGUACCGUAGAUUGUGAUCUACUGGUAGAUCACAGGGUGUUCAUGGUAGAUACUGGUUGACCUCUGACUCCUCAGCGAUCUCCUUACAAAAACAAAAAGAAAACACCCCAAACACCCCAACUUUGGCUUCCUAAAAAAAGCUCCAUGACUUUGGGUAGAUCACUGCCAGAUUUUUUUAAUACUUUGAGUAGAUCGAAGUCUAUUGAGAGUUGGACAUCCCUGCCCUAGAUAUUGGGUUGGGGGGUUGGGGAAAGAGGAGAGGAAACAUGGAGCUGGUGCUGAAUAGUCUACUUCCAACCCAUACUGUAGUGGGCCACCUUCAGUCACAGAGAAUUCAGACUUCUCUGACUACUUUGGCUAGUAAUGCUCUUGCACCAUUGUAGUCCAGGAGGAAGCAUGAUAGGGAUGGCAGCAAUGUUCCUUUUCCAAGAGAGCCAUUCCAUGCCCCCUUCUCUACAUGCAGAGCAAGCAGGAUUGCAGUUUUAGUCUUUUUUCUAAUUACCUUUGUUUCAUUAUCAAUGACCCACUUUCACCAUACUGGAUACAGGCAGCAGGAGAGGGAGGGAAUAUGUGGACUGUGUCCGUGGCACUGUCCGAAUCACAUUCUGAAUCGGGGCCAGCCCACCCUUCUUCCCAAUGUAGAUCUUUCUUACCCCCGUGUUUGUGAUGUAGAGCUUCGCCCAACCCCUUCUCUGGCGGAAGGUGGGCACCAUUUUGUGGUUUGCCUCAGAGGCCAAAAUGCCUUGGGCCAGCCCUGCUAUGGAUCACAUUCAUGAUCUUCUUGAACAUCUGCCUUUUGUACUUCUGAAUUUGUUAAACAGAUGUGCCGCUCUUUGGAUUCAGAAUGGAAAGUAAAGGCCAAGUUGACGCCUUUCCCUUUCUACCCAAGCAGUUGUAGUCGACUAAGUUUUACUCAAAUUAAACCCACUGAAAUUAAUGGACCUAACUUCCUCAUGGUUGUUAAUUUCAAAGGGGCUGCUCUGAGGAAUGCUUGGUGUAGUGUUUCAGCCUAUGGAGUCAAAAUAUUUCUUUUUUUAAAUAUCAUUUUUAUUAAAUCUUAAUAUUCCAAAACAUUUAUUGUCAUAUACAUUUUUAACGCAAAGUUCCUCUUGACUUCCCAUCCCUCCUUUCCCGAUGUUUUUCUUCUUUUUAUUAGCUGUUUUACAACACAUUAGCUGUUUUUCUUAUCUAAACUUCACUCUCAUUAGUUCUUUCAAUAACCCACUGCUUAUAUCUCAAAUCCUGCCCACGACUCCACGUAUGGGCGAUACUUUGACAGAUAAUCCGUCCAUGGUCUCCAUUCCUCCUUGAACACUUUGUCGUUAUGUCCUCUUAAUUUAGCAAUUAAUUUUGCCAUUUCAGCAUAGUCCAUCAGUUUCAUAAGCCAUUCCUCCUUCCUUGGUAAUCCUUCCUUCUUCCACCUCUGUGCAUAUAAAGUUCUAGCUGCUGUUGUCGCCUACAUAAAUAAGUUAGCCAGCUUUUUCAGGACUUGUGUCCCCAUUAUUCCUACCAAAAAGGUUUCAGGGGUUUUUUUUGUUUUGUUUUGUUUUUGUUUAGGAAUUAUCAGUUUAAACAUCCUUUUCAACUCAUUAGAUAUCAUUUCCCAAAACCCUUUCGCCUUUUCACAUGUGAUAAAAUGACCCUUCUUCCCUUUGGCAUUUCCAGUAGGUGAGUCAAAAGAUUUCAUGCCCAAGAACUGGUUUGUUAAAAAGGUCUUGUUACUUCCUACAUUAACCAGACCUGAUGAUUUCCUCAGUGUCAGUUAGCUAAUAUGUUUCUUGCUUGGGUUGAGCUACAAUUUAAGCCAGGGUCCAGUCUGAGCUGAAAAUACAGUGGUGCCCCGCAAGACGAAUGCCUCGCAAGAUGAAAAACCCGCUAGACGAAAGGGUUUUCCGUUUUUCAAUGCGCUUCGCAGGACGAAUUUCCCUAUGGGCUUGCUUCGCAAGACGAAAAUGUCUUGCAAGUCUUGAGAUUUUUUUCGCUUUCCCCCCCUUUUUCUAAGCCGCUAAGCCGCUAAUAGCCUUUUAGCCGCUAAGCCGCUAAGCCUUUAAUAGCCGCUAAACCGCUAAUAGCGCUAAUCCGCUAAGCCGCUAAUAGGGUUGCUUCGCAAGACGAAAAAACCGCUAGACGAAGAGACUCGCGGAACGGAUUAAUUUCGUCUUGCGAGGCACCACUGUAUCUCUGGAAGCAUAUACUUCUGGGGAGGGCCUACAUUCUUAAUAUGGCCCCACCCGGCCUUCAUCGUACCCAUUGGAAUGCAAUUCUGAUGCAGAGAGAUCUUUUCAAUAAGAAAAAGGAUGGAUGGGGUGGCCAUUUUGUUGUGGGGUUAUCCAGAAGGAGUCUGCAUUAUACAUACAGCUGCUUAUAUGAGCUAUAAAGGAUAAUUUUCUUGUAUUAAUGUCAUAAAUUUUGUAGAGCCAGCAAGGCUUCCCACUGCAUAAUAGCUUAAUUUUUCAUUCUAAUAAUAACUGGCUGCCAGCAGAAAUGAAUGGGUGAAAAAACAAACAUUUCUGUUCUGUGACAUGAUCUAUGACAGAUGUACAGUUUUUGGAGGCCCUCCGGCAGGGUAUUCCAAUCCUCCCCCCUCUUUACCCAAUGGCAAGAAAGAGAAUUAGCACCAAGACAAGAGAGUGAACUGUAAAGGAACUCCAAGAAAAAUGACUCCCUCCAUCUUCCACUUAAAACUGUAAUUGGCAAUCAGCCCAAUUUAAAGCUGCGCUGAAACACCCCGGAUGUUUCAAAAGUGCUUUAAGACUAUGAGUAUUGUGUCUACAUUAUUUAAACCAAACAAUGAAAACAUCUUCCUAAUACUCAUAAAUGCCCGUAUUUUUAUAUAGGUAAGGGCAGGGAGAAGUCAAUGUCUCCUGUAAGAACCAAUUUUCCCGGACUUUCUGAAAGCAGCCAAGAUAGCUAGCAUCCAGGAGUGUGUAUGGAAUACUUUUGGAGCAGGCCAG